rnacentral:rRNA from 1 species
UACGUAGCGUGCAAGCGUUGUCCGGAAUUAUUGGGCGUAAAGAGCUCGUAGGCGGUCUGUCGCGUCUGGUGUGAAAAUCCAGGGGCUUAACCCUGGACCUGCAUCGGGUACGGGCAGACUAGAGUGCGGUAGGGGAGACUGGAAUUCCUGGUGUAGCGGUGAAAUGCGCAGAUAUCAGGAGGAACACCGGUGGCGAAGGCGGGGUCUCUGGGCCGUAACUGACGCUGAGGAGCGAAAGCCGUGGGGGAGCGAACAGG